rnacentral:lncRNA from 1 species
GGUAUGGUAGGUUAAAACCCCGUUUGUAGAGUUGGUCAUUAAUGAUCAAGUAACGGUAGCCUUGUAUCGAAUUUGCUUAGCUUGGACUUUGUCAUUUGGAAGGGUGCCAUGAGCAAGGAAUCUAUAAAUCGGGGUAAUCCAACUAUCCCUCUGUUGUAAGUUGCACACUUCCGCAGCCAUGGUGCUUGGUGCUGCCAACAAUUCGACCUGAAUUUUUCUCCC